ACCGCGAUAGCUCAUUUAGUAGAGUGUCUGCGCGGUUAGCGGAGUGUUACCGGUUCGACCCGGCUCGCGAAG
rnacentral:tRNA from 1 species